rnacentral:misc_RNA from 1 species
UUGUCCUCAUUACAGAAACCCCAAUUGCGCAAAAUUCAAGAUUUUCAAUUUGCAGUACCCAGAAAUCAAGAAUCUUUAAGUUAUGGAUGAAGAUAGAAUAGGGUUAGUGCUGGCUAGAAUCUCUGAACUGAGGAUAGAGAUAACGAAUUGUAUUCACAAAGCAUCUAAGAAAGAUGAAGUGGAAUCUGGAAAUGGAGAAGACCCAGAUGAGAAAACCCAUGAGGGUGAUGAUGAAGCAGUGGAUUGCUUGUUGAAGAUUAAGGAUGCUCUUGAAUCACUUGAAGCCCAAGUGUCUUCUUUGCAGGCACUACAAGAACAACAAUG